rnacentral:rRNA from 1 species
AUUGAACGCUGGCGGCAGGCCUAACACAUGCAAGUCGAACGGUAGCACAGAGAGCUUGCUCUCGGGUGACGAGUGGCGGACGGGUGAGUAACGUCUGGGAAACUGCCCGAUGGAGGGGGAUAACUACUGGAAACGGUAGCUAAUACCGCAUAACGUCGCAAGACCAAAGUGGGGGACCUUCGGGCCUCACACCAUCGGAGGUGCCCAGAUGGGAUUAGCUAGUAGGUGGGGUAAUGGCUCACCUAGGCGACGAUCCCUAGCUGGUCUGAGAGGAUGACCAGCCACACUGGAACUGAGACACGGUCCAGACUCCUACGGGAGGCAGCAGUGGGGAAUAUUGCACAAUGGGCGCAAGCCUGAUGCAGCCAUGCCGCGUGUAUGAAGAAGGCCUUCGGGUUGUAAAGUACUUUCAGCGGGGAGGAAGGCGGUGAAGUUAAUAACUUCACCGAUUGACGUUACCCGCAGAAGAAGCACCGGCUAACUCCGUGCCAGCCGCCGCUGUAA